UGUGGGAGCGGGCUUGCUCGCGAAGGCGGUAGGUCAUUCAGCAUUUAUGUUGGCUGAUACACCGCCUUCGCGAGCAAGCCCGCUCCCACA
rnacentral:antisense_RNA from 1 species